rnacentral:rRNA from 1 species
CCUACGGGAGGCAGCAGUGGGGGAUAUUGCACAAUGGGGGAAACCCUGAUGCAGCGAUGCCGCGUGUGGGAAGACGGUCCUCUGGAUUGUAAACCACUGUCCCCAGGGACGAAGAUGACGGUACCUGGGGAGGAAGCCCCGACUAACUACGUGCCAGCAGCCGCGGUAAUACGGAGGGGGCAAGCGUUAUCCGGAUUUACUGGGUGUAAGGGGAGCGUAGACGGCAGGUUAAGUCCGGAGUGAAAUGCCGGGGCCCAACCCCGGAACUGCUUUGGAAACUGUGCAGCUGGAGUGCAGGAGAGGUAAGCGGAAUUCCUAGUGUAGCGGUGAAAUGCGUAGAUAUUAGGAGGAACACCAGUGGCGAAGGCGGCUUACUGGACUGUAACUGACGUUGAGGCUCGAAAGCGUGGGGAGCAAACAGGAUUAGAUACCCGUGUAGUC